rnacentral:rRNA from 1 species
UACGGAGGGUGCGAGCGUUGUCCGGAAUCACUGGGCGUAAAGGGCGCGUAGGCGGCGGGGUAAGCGUGCGGUGAAAGCUCGGGGCUCAACCCCCGAGUCGGCCGUGCGAACUGCCCUGCUUGAGCACUGUAGAGGCAGGUGGAAUUCCGGGUGUAGCGGUGGAAUGCGUAGAGAUCCGGAAGAACACCAGUGGCGAAGGCGGCCUGCUGGGCAGUGGCUGACGCUGAGGCGCGAAAGCGUGGGGGAGCAAACAGG